AACACCCCUGAUUUUUUUUAUAUAUUAUUAUUGGGCUUCGUGUAGGUAUCCUCAAUUCGCGGAAAUUCGACAGUUGUCCGGAUUUGUGAAUUUCCGGCCAGACAGACCAGCUACCGGAAAAGUCUCCGAAUUGGAUCGAGGUUUUGGCUAUCCCACCAUUGUCAGGCAUCCCGAGCGCGUUCCCGAAGUCGGAAUCGGUAAAGGUGAGCCGGGACAGCCUUCUUCCUCCGCCCAGCCGCCUCAGUGACCAUCGUCAAGUCUGCCACAGGAGGAUAUUUUUUUGAGGUUAACCUGCUUUCUCCCUCGCAGGUCGAUUACUAUGUUCGUAUAAAUUUGUUUAAUCUUAGAAUUUCCGCAUGUGUUAGAAAUGUUUAUUUGAUUUGGGUCUGUAAACUAAAUUAUUAUUUUGGGACCUGUAAACUUAAUAUGCUAUGCAUGUUUGAUGGAUUGGAUGAGGGAGCUGAGCUCCCAUUUAUUAUUAUGUUGAUGAGUAUGUGGAGGGUGAGCUGAGCUCCCCAAUUGACUA